rnacentral:rRNA from 1 species
UACGAAGGGGGCUAGCGUUGCUCGGAAUCACUGGGCGUAAAGCGCACGUAGGCGGCUCUUUAAGUCAGGGGUGAAAUCCCGGAGCUCAACUCCGGAACUGCCUUUGAUACUGAGGAUCUCGAGUCCGGGAGAGGUGAGUGGAACUGCGAGUGUAGAGGUGAAAUUCGUAGAUAUUCGCAAGAACACCAGUGGCGAAGGCGGCUCACUGGCCCGGUACUGACGCUGAGGUGCGAAAGCGUGGGGAGCAAACAGG